rnacentral:tRNA from 1 species
GGACCCGUAGUCUAGCUUGGAUAGGACGUUGGCCUGCGAAGCCAGAGACCUGGGGUUCAAAUCCCCACGGGUCCA